GACCAGACUCCUACGGGAGGCAGCAGUGGGGGAUAUUGCACAAUGGGGGGAACCCUGAUGCAGCGACGCCGCGUGGGUGAAGGAGCACCUCGGUGCGUAAAGCCCUAUCGGCAGGGAAGAAAAGCGAACAGGUUCGCCUGGACGGUACCUGACUAAGAAGCCCCGGCUAACUCCGGGCCAGCAGCCGCGGGAAUACGGAGGGUGCGAGCGUUAAUCGGAAUUACUGGGCGUAAAGCGCACGUAGGCUGUAUGACAAGUCAAGGGUGAAAUGCCACGGCUCAACCGUGGAACUGCCUUUGAAACUGUCAAACUGGAGUAUGUGAGAGGGCGGCGGAAUUCCUGGUGUAGGAGUGAAAUCCGUAGAUAUCAGGAGGAACAUCAGUGGCGAAGGCGGCCGCCUGGCACAAAACUGACGCUGAGGUGCGAAAGCGUGGGUAGCAAACAGGAUUAGAUACCCGUGUAA
rnacentral:rRNA from 1 species